rnacentral:rRNA from 1 species
AUGGUCGGGUCGGGGUCGAAGCAUGCCGCGGGCGGGAGCGGCCUCGGCGGCGGAGGGGAGAGGCGCAAGUACCCGAUCCGCGCCGAGGACUACGAGCUGUACGAGGAGAUCGGGCAGGGCGUCAGCGCCAUCGUCUACCGCGCGCUCUGCAGGCCGCUCGGCGAGACCGUCGCCGUCAAGGUGCUCGACUUCGAGCGCACCAACAGCAACCUGAACAAUAUCAUGCGUGAAGCCCAGACAAUGAUUCUUAUAGACCAUCCUAAUGUUGUUAAGGCGAUCUGUUCAUUUGCAAAUAACCAAACGUUAUGGGUAGUUAUGCCGUACAUGGCUGGAGGAUCUUGUCUUCACAUAAUGAAAUCAGUCUAUCCGGAUGGUUUCGAGGAAGCUGUCAUUGCAACACUGCUCCGUGAAGUUCUAAGAGGAUUGGAAUAUCUUCAUCAUCAUGGGCAUAUACAUCGUGAUGUCAAGGCGGGAAAUAUCCUAGUUGAUUCUCGUGGUGGAGUUAAGCUUGGAGAUUUUGGGGUUUCUGCUUGCCUUUUUGAAUCUGGUGACAGACAGCGGGCUAGAAACACUUUCGUGGGAACUCCUUGCUGGGCAGACAUAUGGUCCUUUGGAAUUACCGCACUUGAACUUGCCCAUGGUCACGCUCCUUUCUCAAAGUACCCUCCCAUGAAGGUCUUGCUUAUGACACUUCAAAAUGCUCCCCCCGGUCUUGAUUAUGAAAGAGAUAAGAAAUUCUCAAGGCACUUCAAGCAAAUGGUAGCUAUGUGUUUGGUAAAAGAGCCUUCAAAAAGGCCGACUGCAACAAAAUUGCUCAAGCAAUCCUUUUUCAAGCAAGCUCGUUCCCAUGAUUACAUUGUUCGAAAGCUUUUGGAGGGAUUGCCUGGCCUUGGCGCUAGAUAUCAAGCUUUGAAGGAAAAGGAUGAACAUUUACUUGCUCAAAAGAAAAUGCCUGAUGGUAGAAAGGAAGAAAUCUCGCAGGAUGAAUACAAAAGGGGUAUCAGCAGCUGGAACUUUGACAUUGAUGACCUGAAGUCUCAAGCCUCACUGAUUUCAGAGUGUGAGGACACAAUAUCAUCUAAAGAUACAGAUAUAUCGUCUAUCUAUGACUUCGACACCAGCUUGCAGGAGCAAGCACUCGAAGGGUCUCUUUUUUCAAUGAAGUAUGAUACUGACAUCGAAAAUGAUGUCAUGGCCAAUGAUAAGUCAGCUGUUUCAUCACCCGAGCAGUCUGUUUGUCUAUCAAGGAAACACAGCUCUAUGGAAAGCUGUGAUUUGGACUUGCAAGAGAAAGAUUUGGAUGCCAUUCCAACAAGCUCAUUUCAGGAAAGGAAGUGUUCUUUCAGUUCUUGCUCAUCAGAUGGUUUUCUUUCUUCCAAAGAGAGUUCUUUCAGCUCUAAGCCACAAAUCAACAUUCAUAACCGUGACAAGGGUAGCGGAGGGGUCUUGCAAGUAGCAGAUGAGCCAUCUCCUGAAGCUAUUUCUAGGGCACCUAAAUCAUUGGUAUCAAAUGUUGAUGAACAUGAUGAUAGAUCAAAACCUCCACUUAUACAGCAAAGAGGUCGUUUUAAAGUUACACCUGGGAAUGUCGAGUUGGAUAAGGCUCACUCACCUGGCCUACAAAAGUCUCACAGCAUGCAGACAAUUUCUCAACUUUCUGCAUUAAGCAUACCAUCUUCAGCUGAGGCUGCUUCAAGCAUUAUUGGUGGCUCCUUGUACAUCCAGUUAUACAAUGUUUUGCAGACCAAUCUGCUUCAGAGGGAACAGAUACUUCAUGCGAUGAAACAGUUAUACAUUUCUGAUUCUAUUUCACCUGUUCGGAUGCAUUCGUUAAGUCGUUCCCCAUCUCCAUCAUCAGCUUUAUCGGUAGAUAGAUCCAUGCUUUUAUCGACAGAUUCCGCUGCCGCGCAGCAGAAUCUAAACCAAAGGGCGAAUCCAGCAGAAUCUGAUUCCAGAAAUCCGCUGCCAAAAUCUGAACCAAAAGCUGAAGCAGCUCAGGACGUGCUUUCCAAAAUCUGA